rnacentral:rRNA from 1 species
ACGCACGCUGGCGGCGUGCUUAACCCAUGCAAGUCGAACGGAAAGGCCCUGCUUGCAGGGUACUCGAGUGGCGAACGGGUGAGUAACACGUGGGUGAUCUGCCCUGCACUUCGGGAUAAGCCUGGGAAACUGGGUCUAAUACCGGAUAGGAGCCAUUUUUAGUGUGAUGGUUGGAAAGUUUUUUCGGUGUAGGAUGAGCUCGCGGCCUAUCAGCUUGUUGGUGGGGUAAUGGCCUACCAAGGCGGCGACGGGUAGCCGGCCUGAGAGGGUGGACGGCCACCUUGGGACUGAGGUACGGCCCAGACUCCUACGGGAGGCAGCAGGGGGGAAUAUUGCACAAGGGGCGAAAGCCUGAUGCAGCGACGCCGGGGGGGGGAUGACGGCCUUCGGGUUGUAAACUCCUUUCGCUAGGGACGAAGCUUUUUGUGACGGUACCAAGAAAAGAAGCACCGGCUAACUACGG